rnacentral:rRNA from 1 species
UUGAACGCUGGCGGCAUGCCUUACACAUGCAAGUCGAACGGCAGCACGGGUGCUUGCACCUGGUGGCGAGUGGCGAACGGGUGAGUAAUACAUCGGAACAUGUCCUGUAGUGGGGGAUAGCCCGGCGAAAGCCGGAUUAAUACCGCAUACGAUCCACGGAUGAAAGCGGGGGACCUUCGGUCCUCGCGCUAUAGGGUUGGCCGAUGGCUGAUUAGCUAGUUGGUGGGGUAAAGGCCUACCAAGGCGACGAUCAGUAGCUGGUCUGAGAGGACGACCAGCCACACUGGGACUGAGACACGGCCCAGACUCCUACGGGAGGCAGCAGUGGGGAAUUUUGGACAAUGGGCGAAAGCCUGAUCCAGCAAUGCCGCGUGUGUGAAGAAGGCCUUCGGGUUGUAAAGCACUUUUGUCCGGAAAGAAAUCCUUGGCUCUAAUACAGUCGGGGGAUGACGGUACCGGAAGAAUAAGCACCGGCUAACUACGUG